rnacentral:rRNA from 1 species
AGAAUCAACGCUGGCGGCGUGCCUAACACAUGCAAGUCGAACGCGAAAGGGGAGCAAUCCCUGAUUAGAGUGGCAAACGGGUGAGUAACACGUGGGUGACCUGCCUUCGAGUGGGGGAUAACCUUCCGAAAGGAGGGCUAAUACCGCAUGACAUACCGUGUUUGGAUACAUGGAUAUCAAAGCCGGGGAUCGCAAGACCUGGCGCUUGAAGAGGGGCCCGCGUCCGAUUAGCUAGUUGGUGGGGUAACGGCUCACCAAGGCUCCGAUCGGUA